GUAGGGAAUAUUGGGCAAUGGAUGCAAGUCUGACCCAGCCAUCCCGCGUGCCGGAAGAAGGCCCUCAGGGUUGUAAACGGCUUUUGACGGUGAAGAAUCGACAGGAUGCGUCCUGUUUUGACGGUAGCCGUUGAAUAAGCACCGGCUAACUCCGUGCCAGCAGCCGCGGUAAUACGGAGGGUGCGAGCGUUGUCCGGAUUUAUUGGGUUUACAGGGUGCGUAGGCUGGAAGGUCAGUCAGCGGUGAAAAGCUAUCGCUUAACGAUAGUCUUGCCGCAGAUACUUCCUUUCUUGGAUGAGGAGGAGGCCACUGGAACGGAUGGUGUAGCGGUGAAAUGCAUAGAUAUCAUCCAGAACACCGAUUGCGAAGGCAGGUGGCUGUACCUUAAUCGACGCUGAUGCACGAAAGCAUGGGGAGCAAACAGGAUUAGAAACCCGGGUAGUCC
rnacentral:rRNA from 1 species